GCGGGCGUGGCGAAAUUGGUAGACGCGCGGGAUUUAGGUUCCCGUGACGCAAGUCGUGUGGGUUCAAAUCCCUCCGCCCGCA
rnacentral:tRNA from 1 species